UACGGAGGGAGCUAGCGUUAUUCGGAAUUACUGGGCGUAAAGCGUACGUAGGCGGCUUUGUAAGUAAGAGGUGAAAGCCCGGAGCUCAACUCCGGAACUGCCUUUUAGACUGCAUCGCUUGAAUCCAGGAGAGGUGAGUGGAAUUCCGAGUGUAGAGGCGAAAUUCGUAGAUAUUCGGAAGAACACCAGUGGCGAAGGCGGCUCACUGGACUGGUAUUGACGCUGAGGUACGAAAGCGUGGGGAGCAAACAGG
rnacentral:rRNA from 1 species